rnacentral:rRNA from 1 species
GACCUCGGAUCAGGUAGGAAUACCCGCUGAACUUAAGCAUAUCAAUAAGCGGAGGAAAAGAAACCAACAGGGAUUACCCUAGUAACGGCGAGUGAAGCGGUAAUAGCUCAAAUUUGAAAUCUGACCUUCACGGGUCCGAGUUGUAAUUUGUAGAGGAAGUUUCGGAUAAGGCUGUGGUUUAAGUUUCUUGGAACAGAACGUCAUAGAGGGUGAGAGUCCCGUCUAGAACCGAUAGCCGCGUCCAUGUGAAACCCCUUCGACGAGUCGAGUUGUUUGGGAAUGCAGCUCAAAAUGGGUGGUAAAUUUCAUCUAAAGCUAAAUAUUGGCCAGAGACCGAUAGCGCACAAGUAGAGUGAUCGAAAGAUGAAAAGCACUUUGAAAAGAGAGUUAAACAGUAUGUGAAAUUGUUGAAAGGGAAGCGC